GGUACUAUGGCCGAGUUGGUCUAAGGCGUGGGACUCAAGCUUAUGAGUUUUAUCUCAUCUCGAAAGAGGCCUGGGUUCGAAUCCCAGUGGUACCA